ensembl:snoRNA Gm24029 small nucleolar RNA SNORA67
GUCCAAGGUGAUUCCCUCUCCAAGGGGCUGACUAGUGCCCCUUUCAGGAACGUAGCAACUUGGAAGAAAACCUGGCAUGCCUGAGGUCUCUGGGGGAACAAGAGAUGCUUGUUUGUUGCCUUUCCCUGCCUUGGCUGCCUACAUGU